rnacentral:snRNA from 1 species
AUGCUCACAUUGGUAACACAUACCCUAAAAUUGAAAUGAUACAGAGAAAAUUAGCAUGGCCAUUGUUUAAGAAUGACAUGCAAAUUCAUGAAGCAUUCCAUAUUUUU